CCGAGUCACAGUUCUAAUUAAAACCUGCAGCUUUCUUUGACUAAGGUCUGACACCCUUGCCCUGAAGCGAAGACAGUUUCUGAGAUGGUCCCUUUUGAGGGGUGCCUUUCGAUACCCCUGUGCAUUAAACUGUUACAAAUAAAUCCUACUUCUGUAGACAAGGACCUCAGGAAAACAACACUACAUUUGUGUAUUUUUCUUUGCUGCUUUGGAACCCAGUACAGUUGAGUCACAGGUUUCUCCUCUUCCUCCACAGACAGCCAAGCCCCACCUUACCGACAGCAGUGUGAGAAAGUAGCGCUCUACCCUGUGGGAGUUCUAGCUCAGCCCAGUGACCACACAUCCACUCAGCUCUGUGACUAUUACUUUCCUCAUCUCACCAUCCCAACAAGCCCUCUCCAGUGCAUUUCUUCGGAGCUCAUCUUGGCUGAAAAUAGUACAUGAAUGUGAUCACAGGAACUGUGGCUGGAAGCAGCUAAAUAUCCUUUCACCUGUUGCACAUGAUGUUCACUCUCUAACACACAUUUUGAAGAUACCAAUUAAACUCUUGUCAUACUGUAUCAGAGGCUGUACACAUCAUUGUGCUGUUGGGAUUAUAAAGAUGUUCUUACUCAGAGCAUUUGUAGCUUUCAUAAACGCUCCUCCAAUAUAUUCUUAUCUAAAAACGUAUUUAGAAUGGAUUUUUACACUAGUGGAUAUACCAGAGAUACGUUAUAUACACAAUACAUGUACUGUAUUGUGC
rnacentral:lncRNA from 1 species